rnacentral:rRNA from 1 species
GAUGAACGCUGGCGGCGUGCCUAAUACAUGCAAGUCGAGCGAACGGACGAGAAGCUUGCUUUUCUGAUGUUAGCGGCGGACGGGUGAGUAACACGUGGAUAACCUACCUAUAAGACUGGGGUAACUUCGGGAAACCGGAGCUAAUACCGGAUAAUAUUUUGAACCGCAUGGUUCAAAAGUGAAAGACGGUCUUGCUAUCACUUAUAGAUGGAUCCGCGCUGCAUUAGCUAGUUGGUAAGGUAACGGCUUACCAAGGCAACGAUGCAUAGCCGACCUGAGAGGGUGAUCGGCCACACUGGAACUGAGACACGCUCCAGACUCCUACGGGAGGCAGCAGUAGGGAAUCUUCCGCAAUGGGCGAAAGCCUGACGGAGCAACGCCGCGUGAGUGAUGAAGGUCUUCGGAUCGUAAAACUCUGUUAUUAGGGAAGAACAUAUGUGUAAGUAACUGUGCACAUCUUGACGGUACCUAAUCAGAAAGCCACGGCUAACUACGUG